rnacentral:rRNA from 1 species
UACGGAGGGUGCAAGCGUUGUCCGGAUUUAUUGGGCGUAAAGAGCUCGUAGGCGGUGUGUCGCGUCGGCCGUGAAAACCUGUGGCUUAACUAUGGGCUUGCGGUCGAUACGGGCAUCACUGGAGUUCGGCAGGGGAGACUGGAAUUCCUGGUGUAGCGGUGAAAUGCGCAGAUAUCAGGAGGAACACCGGUGGCGAAGGCGGGUCUCUGGGCCGAUACUGACGCUGAGGAGCGAAAGCGUGGGGAGCGAACAGG